AUAUAUAUAUAUAUAUAUAUAUAUAUAUUAUUUCAUAAUUCAACUGUCUUUGAAAUAUGAUCAAAGACAUUGCUAUAAUGUACAGACGAGCAUUUAUGGCGAAGUAAAAUAACCUGCUGCUGUUAGAACUUAUUUAAAUUUAGAUACAUUGAUACAAAGGCCAAAAUAUUUCAUUUAAUUUUAAAAACACCAUUGCUUCCAAAUUUAUUGUCAGUGGCCACAGGGCAUAAAUGGAAAUUGUGAAAAAAUUAAGCACAAAAUUUAAUAAGGAAGUGUUACACGACAGGACAAAUCAAUAUUGAUAUGACUGAUACGAUUUAAACUUCAAAAUUAAGUUUUUUAGAGCUUCUGUAAUUUAUAAGGCAAUUAACAUGCUAUUUUUAAUACGCUAUAGCAUACAGUAAUAUACGAAAACAUAAAACUGUUGUUUACUGUAAUAUGUGUAAUUAUGUACUCUCUCUUUCUCUCUCUCUCUCUCUCUAUAUAUAUAUAUAUACACACACACAAUUUACUAUAAUAUUAUAAUAUAUAAAAUAUUAUAGUAACAAUGUUAUAUUUAUCUAUAUUAAUUCCUUGUAUAUAACAAAAAAGUCAGACAGGUGUUUUAUUAUUAAGAACAUUGUUAGCAUGCAGUAUUUCAGACAUGGCUAACAUGUUUUACCACGCUAGCAUGUCUCUAACAUGUUUAGCACAAGUUGCAACCAUAGCACAUUGCUAACAUUAUUUAACAUGCUGUUAGCAUAUUUUAAAGCAUUGCUAGUAUGUAUCAGUAUUAUUCUUUCUCAAGCUAACAUAGUUGUGAUCAACACUUAUUAGAAUGUGACAGAAAGACUUUGCUGCUACCGUUAUACUGAAAGCUUGCGUAGCACUGAGCUUUUAUAGCUAAUGUACAUAGCUAAUGUAAGCAGUCAAAUCCAUUAUAUUGUGAAAUUUAUGUUGUACUUUAAGUUUAUUUUAGAUGCCAUUUUAGAUUUUUUUUUGAUCAUCAUUUACUUCACAUGCACCGCUGCAAACACAAACAUGAUUUUGUAAAACUGUCACCUUGAAUUUAACAGUGAAACGAAUUGCGUUUUUAAUUUUAUUUUUUAUAAUUAAUACCUACUGUUUAAUUUUCAUAUUCUUACCAUAGUAGGAUUUCCUUAAUAUACAGAAAUUUGUAUAUUUUAUGCUAAUUGUUUUUAUGUAGUAUUAUAUUCCAUAUUUGUCACUGGGAAUUUAGAACAAUAGGCGAUUGUGAUUUGUUGGAAACUUGUUUAUCAAUUGUAGAAUUUUUAUUUAUGAUAACAUGUUUCAGGGAUUGCCAAGUCAGUUCAUACCAUUGCCAUGAGAG
ensembl:lncRNA